CGGGGGAUAACCUGCCGAAAGGCGGGCUAAUACCGCAUAAGACCACAGUGACCACGGUCACAGCGGUCAAAGCUGGCCUCUUCUUGAAAGCUAGCACUCGAGGAUCAACCCGCGGCCCAUCAGCUAGUUGGUAGGGUAAUGGCCUACCAAGGCUAAGACGGGUAGCUGGUCUGAGAGGAUGAUCAGCCACACUGGAACUGAGACACGGUCCAG
rnacentral:rRNA from 1 species